rnacentral:rRNA from 1 species
UACGAAGGGGGCUAGCGUUGCUCGGAAUCACUGGGCGUAAAGGGUGCGUAGGCGGGUCUUUUAAGUCAGGGGUGAAAUCCUGGAGCUCAACUCCAGAACUGCCUUUGAUACUGAAGAUCUUGAGUCCGGGAGAGGUGAGUGGAACUGCGAGUGUAGAGGUGAAAUUCGUAGAUAUUCGCAAGAACACCAGUGGCGAAGGCGGCUCACUGGCCCGGUACUGACGCUGAGGCACGAAAAGCGUGGGGAGCAAACAGGG